GUGAGAAGUGGGCCAAGAUCCCAACCAUCGUGAUAGAAGACUAAUCUGGAUGACGCAUCUCAAAGGCUUCAGCUUCUCUUGAAACAAGCACAGUUCUCUAUCAUUCGUCAUAUUUCAACCUGGGAUGCAUGUCCAAUGGAAGUCAAUAUUGGAGCUAGGGGACAAGGGAACAUCAAUUGAGCAUCAGGCAUUGUCUUCCCCCCUACCCUUCAGAUACAUCAGUGAUUAGUUGAGCAUGAGCUAGCAGAGUUAUAGCAUAGACCAAACCUAGGAGGGUACGAAAGAGGUCAAACACUUGAGGUGGUCAUACAUGUGCUUCCUCAGAUCGAUGCUCAACUUUCUAUCAAUUUUAGCCGUAUUCACCUUGAUUUUUUCAGGAUACAGAUGAUCAUUCAUGCCCACGUGAAUAGCUAAAGGGAUUCUUGGACUUCCAAUU